GCCCCCGUUGUGUAGCGGCCUAGCACGCCUGCCUCUCACGUAGGUAGCGCCGGUUCGAAUCCGGUCGGGGGUAC
rnacentral:tRNA from 1 species